rnacentral:rRNA from 1 species
CCUACGGGUGACAGCAGUGAGGAAUAUUGGUCAAUGGGCGCAAGCCUGAACCAGCCAAGUCGCGUGAGGGAUGACGGUCCUAUGGAUUGUAAACCUCUUUUGUCGGGGAGCAAGGCCCGCCACGUGUGGCGUGAAGGAGAGUACCCGCAGAAAAAGCAUCGGCUAACUCCGUGCCAGCAGCCGCGGUAAUACGGAGGAUGCGAGCGUUAUCCGGAUUUAUUGGGUUUAAAGGGUGCGUAGGCGGAAGGUUAAGUCAGCGGUCAAAUGUCGGUGCUCAACACCGGCCUGCCGUUGAAACUGGUCGUCUUGAGUGAGCGAGAAGUAUGCGGAAUGCGUGGUGUAGCGGUGAAAUGCAUAGAUAUCACGCAGAACUCCGAUUGCGAAGGCAGCAUACCGGAGCUCAACUGACGCUGAGGCACGAAAGCGUGGGGAUCGAACAGGAUUAGAUACCCCUGUAGUC